GUGGGGAAUCUUGCGCAAUGGGCGAAAGCCUGACGCAGCCAUGCCGCGUGAAUGAUGAAGGUCUUAGGAUUGUAAAAUUCUUUCACCGGGGACGAUAAUGACGGUACCCGGAGAAGAAGCCCCGGCUAACUUCGUGCCAGCAGCCGCGGUAAUACGAAGGGGGCUAGCGUUGCUCGGAAUUACUGGGCGUAAAGGGUGCGUAGGCAGACAGUUUAGUCAGAGGUGAAAGCCCAGGGCUCAACCUUGGAAUUGCCUUUGAUACUGGCUGUCUUGAGUACGGGAGAGGUGAGUGGAACUCCGAGUGUAGAGGUGAAAUUCGUAGAUAUUCGGAAGAACACCAGUGGCGAAGGCGACUCACUGGCCCGUUACUGACGCUGAGGCGCGAAAGCGUGGGGAGCAAACAGGAUUAGAAACCCCUGUAGUCC
rnacentral:rRNA from 1 species